rnacentral:rRNA from 1 species
GAGCGGUAACAGGCGUAGCAAUACGUGCUGACGAGCGGCGAACGGGUGAGUAAUGCUUCGGAAUCUACCCAGUAGUGGGGAAUAACCAUCCGAAAGGAUGGCUAAUACCGCAUACGUCCUACGGGAGAAAGCGGGGGAUCGUAAGACCUCGCGCCAUUGGAUGAGCCGAAGCCGGAUUAGCUAGUUGGUAGGGUAACGGCCUACCAAGGCGACGAUCCGUAACUGGUCUGAGAGGACGACCAGCCACACUGGGACUGAGACACGGCCCAGACUCCUACGGGAGGCAGCAGUGGGGAAUAUUGGACAAUGGGGGAAACCCUGAUCCAGCGACGCCGCGUGUGUGAAGAAGGCCUGCGGGUUGUAAAGCACUUUUAGUGGGGAUGAAAAGUGCAGAGCUAACACCUCUGCAUCUUGACCUAACCCAAAGAAAAAGCACCGGCUAACUCUGUGCCAGCAGCCGCGGUAAUACAGAGGGUGCGAGCGUUAAUCGGAAUUACUGGGCGUAAAGCGUGCGUAGACGGUAGCGUAAGUCAGAUGUGAAAGCCCCGGGCUCAACCUGGGAAUGGCAUUUGAGACUGCUCUGCUCGGGUGCGGAAGAGGGAAGCGGAAUUUCCGGUGUAGCGGUGAAAUGCGUAGAUAUCGGAAGGAACACCAGUGGCGAAAGCGGCUUUCUGGUCCGACACCGACGUUCAGGCACGAAAGCGUGGGGA